AGUCUCAGGGGUUGGCAGGGUGGGGAGUGGGCAGAGGAAGGAAAGAGAAGACCAGAGUGGUUGGAAACAAGCCUCGCAUUUUACUCAGGCCCUCCAACCAGGUGGGCAUUGGAAGGGCCCCCAAGGGUGGCUCUCAUAGCAGAAUGUGGUGACAGCAUCAUCCCCAGACUGUUGGAAGAGGCAGGUUCUGCUGCCUUCCUAAUGUCUGAUCUUCUAUCUGAAGUUCAAGUUGAAAAGCAACAAUUCCUUUUGGCACUCGAUACAAACUCCCAGGGCUAAAAGAGAUGCUAAGAGAAUGUCUGCAAAAGAAGUCACCAUUAAUGUAACAGAUAGCAUCCAACAGAUGGACAGAAGUCGAAGAAUCACAAAGAACUGUGUCAACUAGCAGAGAGUCCAAGCAGAAGGGCAGAUGGACUUCUUCAGUGUCCUUCACGGCACUGGAUCCCAUCAAA
rnacentral:sRNA from 1 species